UCUUCUGCUGUUUCUCCUGUUGUCCUUGUUCUUGAUUCAGCUGCUCUGCCAGUUUCUUCUUGUAGUAUUCCUAUUGCCACUGCUGCCUCCUCUUGUACUUCCACUCCCCCUCCGCAACGUUUUGUGCAACAGGAUGAGUUGACCCCAUUGUCUGAUGGCAUACCCGCAGGACAAGGACAGCCUUCUACAGGGCAGCUGAAGCAUCUUCCUCUCGAGUGGAGCUGGCAAGGGCACUACUUGAUGUUCUUUUUGCCAAAGAAGAACAAGCUGUGUCCGGUAUUGGCAACAGAGCUAAUGAGAGGCAGCUGGAUCAGCUAAAGAUGGAUGCUUUGAGAAGUCACUGUGUCACUGCAUUCCCUCUCCAGCCAGGGGAAACGCUGAAGAGCGUCCAUCAGAAACUGAACAAAGCCUUAGGUGACAAGUGCCGGUAUCAGAGAGCAAAAAAGAACGUUUAGCAUUUUGAAAUGGUGUAUGUGCAUGAGUAGCAAUUUCUAAUUGAAAUAAAUGCGUUUAGUGAAACC